CUUAUCAGAAGGUAAUGGAGUAAGUGGCUUCACACCGAUACUUAAACAAUAAAGAUGUGGUCCUGUGUCCGAAAUUGGUGGGUUCUUGGUUUCACUGACUUCAAGAAUGAAGCCGCGGACCCUCGCGGUGUUACAGUUCUUAAAGGCGGCGUGUCUGGAGUUUGUUCCUUCUGAGGUUCAGAUGUGUUCAGAGUUUCUUCCUUCUGAUAACUACUGAAGGAAAAAAUCAAGCUUUCAGUGUUGCCAGCCGAACUCUUUUCUAUGAGAUUCUUUGUUCUCUUAUUAACCCAAAGCGCAAGGACACUAGGGGAUUCAGUCACUUUGCUGAAGUGACUGAGAAUUUUGCCUUUUCUCUGCUGACUAAUGUUACUUGCGGGUCUCCUGGUGAAAAAAGCAAAACCAUCCUUGAUAGUUGCCCAUAUUUGUCAAUAUUGGCUCUUCACUGGUAUCCUCAGCAAAUCAAUGGACACAAGUUUGAAGGAAAGGAAGGAGAUUACAUUCGAAUUCCAGAGAGGCUACUGGAUGUCCAGGAUGCAGAAAUAAUGGCUGGGAAAA
rnacentral:sRNA from 1 species